UGUAUCUUUGUUCUCUGUCCCCAUUUGGACUUUACUUAUGUCUGUUUUAUUCCUUUCCCAAUUUCUUGAAAUUUUCAUAUGCCAACAAGAGGAAGAAGACAUUUUAGACACCCUGAAAAAUACCCAGCAGUCAAGAAAACUGUAUAGAACCAAAACCCAAACGUUACAAUUUCUCAUCCAAAUUUUAUUUAUUUAUUUAUUUUCUUACAGUAAUAGUAUUAAUCAAAACGUUCAUGUGCACACCACCCAAGAAAGUUGCAAAUUCCAUCUUCCUUCCUCCAGC
rnacentral:lncRNA from 1 species